GAGUUUGAUCCUGGCUCAGGACGAACGCUGGCGGCGUGCCUAAUACAUGCAAGUCGAGCGGACAGAUGGGAGCUUGCUCCCUGAUGUUAGCGGCGGACGGGUGAGUAACACGUGGGUAACCUGCCUGUAAGACUGGGAUAACUCCGGGAAACCGGGGCUAAUACCGGAUGGUUGUUUGAACCGCAUGGUUCAAACAUAAAAGGUGGCUUCGGCUACCACUUACAGAUGGACCCGCGGCGCAUUAGCUAGUUGGUGAGGUAACGGCUCACCAAGGCAACGAUGCGUAGCCGACCUGAGAGGGUGAUCGGCCACACUGGGACUGAGACACGGCCCAGACUCCUACGGGAGGCAGCAGUAGGGAAUCUUCCGCAAUGGACGAAAGUCUGACGGAGCAACGCCGCGUGAGUGAUGAAGGUUUUCGGAUCGUAAAGCUCUGUUGUUAGGGAAGAACAAGUACCGUUCGAAUAGGGCGGUACCUUGACGGUACCUAACCAGAAAGCCACGGGUAACUACGUGCCAGCAGCCGCGGUAAUACGUAGGUG
rnacentral:rRNA from 1 species